rnacentral:rRNA from 1 species
CGCUGGCGGCGUGCUUAACACGUGCAAGUCGAGCGAUGAAGCUCCUCGGGAGUGGAUUAGCGGCGGACGGGUGAGUAACACGUGGGCAACCUGCCUUGUAGAGAGGAAUAGCCAUUCGAAAGGAUGAUUAAUACCUCAUAAUAUUGUAGCUUCGCAUGAAGCAACAACCAAAGGAGCAAUCCACUACAAGAUGGGCCCGCGGCGCAUUAGCUAGUUGGUGGGGUAACGGCUCACCAAGGCGACGAUGCGUAGCCGACCUGAGAGGGUGAUCGGCCACAUUGGGACUGAGACACGGCCCAGACUCCUACGGGAGGCAGCAGUGGGGAAUAUUGCACAAUGGGGGAAACCCUGAUGCAGCAAACCGCCGCGUGAGUGAUGACGGUCUUCGGAUUGUAAAGCUCUGUCUUCAGGGACGAUAAUGACGGUACCUGAGGAGGAAGCCACGGCUAACUACGUGCCAGCCGCAGC